rnacentral:rRNA from 1 species
AUUGAACGCUGGCGGCAGGCCUAACACAUGCAAGUCGAGCGAGCGGCGGACGGGUGAGUAAUGUCUGGGAAACUGCCUGAUGGAGGGGGAUAACUACUGGAAACGGUAGCUAAUACCGCAUACCAUCAGAUGUGCCCAGAUGGGAUUGACUGGUAGGUGGGGUAACGGCUCACCUAGGCGACGAUCCCUAGCUGCUCUGAGAGGAUGACCAGCCACACUGCAACUAAGACACGGUCCAGACUCCUACGGGAGGAAGCAGUGGGAAAUAUUGCACAAUGGACGCAAGCCUGAUGCAGCCAUGCCGGGUGUAUGAAGAAGGCCUUCGGGUUGUAAAGUACUUUCAGCGGGGAGGCGUUACCCGCAGAAGAAGCACCGGCUAACUCCGUGCCAGCAACCGCGGUAAUAC